UGCCUCAGUAACGGCGAGUGAAGCGGCAACAGCUCAAAUUUGAAAUCUGGCCUCGCGGUCCGAGUUGUAAUUUGCAGAGGACGUCUCGGGCGCGCCGCCGGUCUAAGUUCCUUGGAACAGGACGUCGCAGAGGGUGAGAAUCCCGUACGUGACCGGCGGUUACCCCAGGUGAGGCCCCUUCGACGAGUCGAGUUGUUUGGGAAUGCAGCUCUAAAUGGGUGGUAAAUUUCAUCUAAAGCUAAAUACCGGCCAGAGACCGAUAGCGCACAAGUAGAGUGAUCGAAAGAUGAAAAGCACUUUGGAAAGAGAGUUAAACAGUACGUGAAAUUGUUGAAAGGGAAGCGCUUGCAACCAGACUUGCUCGCGGGUGAUCAACCGUCCUUCGGGGCGGUGCACUGAUCCACGAGCAGGCCAGCAUCGGUUUCGGCGGCCAGACAAACGGCGCGGGAACGUAGCUUCCCCCGGGGAGUGUUAUAGCCCGUGCCACCAUGUGGUCANCCGGGACCGAGGAC
rnacentral:rRNA from 1 species